AAACGUUUAAAAGAGACGUGGAGACAGGUGUCCAGGAAGAACUGUCAAAUAGUUAAAAAGAUCUUCCAAACAUGCCACCGGGAGAGCAGGAAGCUUCUCAAGGAGGGUGUCAUCCCCUUCCUGGGCAUGUUCCUCUAUCACCUGAAGCUGCUGGACAUUGGGAUGGAGGAUGAUCUGGAAGUGAGUGAGCCUGGAGGUGGGGCCAGGGAGCAGGAUCCUGAGGUUUGGGAGGCGAGAGCCCUGCACUGGGACCUGAGUUCUCAGUACCUGGCAAACCUCCUCUCAUGAGAGCCCCAUGGCCACC